rnacentral:rRNA from 1 species
UACAGAGACUGCAAGCGUUAUUCGGAUUCACUGGGCGUAAAGGGUGCGUAGGCGGCUUUGUAAGUUAGAGGUGAAAGCCCGGAGCUCAACUCCGGAACUGCCUUUAAGACUGCAUCGCUAGAAUCAUGGAGAGGUGAGUGGAAUUCCGAGUGUAGAGGUGAAAUUCGUAGAUAUUCGGAAGAACACCAGUGGCGAAGGCGACUCACUGGACAUGUAUUGACGCUGAGGUGCGAAAGCGUGGGGAGCAAACAGG